rnacentral:rRNA from 1 species
GAUGAACGCUGGCGGCGUGCCUAAUACAUGCAAGUCGAGCGAACAGACGAGGAGCUCGCUCCUCUGACGUUAGCGGCGGACGGGCGAGUAACACGUAGAUAACCUACUUAUAAGACUGGGAUAACUUCGGGAAACAGGAGCUACUACUGGAUAAUAUAUUGAACCGCAUGGAUCAAUAGUGAAAGGCGGUUUUGCUGUCACAUAUAGAUGGAUCCGCGCCGCAUUAGCUAGUUGGUAAGGUAACGGCUUACCAAGGCUACGAUGCGUAGCCGACCUGAGAGGGUGAUCAGCCACACUGGAACUGAGACACGGUCCAGACUCCUACGGGAGGCAGCAGUAGGGAAUCUUCCGCAAUGGGCGAAAGCCUGACGGAGCAAUGCCGCGUGAGUGAUGAAGGUCUUCGGAUCGUAAAGCUCUGUUGUUGGGAAAGAACAAAUGUGUGAGAAACUAUGCACGUCUUGACGGUACCUAAUGAGAAAGCCACGGCUAACUACGUG